UAGUUUGUACAUAGUAGCUGCUCAGUAGAUAUCAUUGUAAUGUAUUGAAUUAACCUUGAAAUAUAUGAUCUAUAUACAAAGUUAAGUUAGCAUUGUCUAACAGGAAUCUGAAGUUGAGGGUGUUGAACAGUCUGGAAUAGUUUGAAAACUGUUUAGUAGCUUUAAAUAUGAAGUUAUCACCAUGACAAACUCAUGAGAAGUGACUUUGAAAAGAAAGGAAGAAAAUUGAUAGGUCUUCAUCUUUAGGGUCUGUAGUAUGUGCCUCUUGAGUUAUUCUGGUAGUGAAAAUAUCUAGAUAGCCAGGAAAUGGGGAUUAACUGAUGGAUUUAUAUUUGCAUUGUUUUAUAAAGUAACUCUAUGACAAUUUGUAGGUACCAAGAUUAAUACAAGUAAUAAGUUUAGUUGUCCCCAAAUAAAGUUAGAAAUUGCUGAGUAGCUUAGACUUUCACACUCAAGAAUCAUGCUCAAUUAUAGUCUAAAAUCUGAGUUUGCAGAUAUGACAUGGGACUCUAGUGAUUCGAACAGCAUAGUACAAAUACUGCAUAUAUUUCUGCCAAAUUUGUCUCAGAUGGACUAGCUGCUAAGGAAGAAUCCAUAGCAUGACUGAGCUAACAGAAAGUGUGUUACCUUUACGAUAGGUAAUCCCUCCAUUUGCGAGCUGUGUUCACUGACAAGAGAGAGGACUUGAAUUUCUGUCACUUUUCUGGACUUCAGCCUUAAGGUUAAAAAAUAUUCCAGAUGGUGAAAAUAUGGACAGAUGAGAAAAAGACCACACCUUAUCUGGUUGCUAAUGAAAUACAGGAGAUUGAUUGCAGAAAAUCUUCAAGGGAAUAUUUGCUGUACCACAUAUAGUAAGCUCCAUUUGGUGCAUUAGCAUUUAGCCAUUUUAUGCAAAUUUAGAGAAAAUGACUCAUGUAUAUGAUUUAAUAUGCAUCAGCGAUAACUCAUACCACCCUUAUAAGAAAAAAGAAAUUAAAAAUUCAUUAGAAAACUAGACUAGUGUCACUACAUGGUUAAAACAUUAUUAAAGCAUAUUUCAAUGUUUUGCUUACACUAGUGUUCUCAUCAUGGUGCCACCAUUUCAUGACAAAGGCCGUAGAGGAGAAAACAUUCAACUUAAAAUGUCUGCUGGCACACAUCGCUGGAUUUGUGUGUCACUAAACAAUGAGCGAGCAUAGCCUUGAAUACCAACUAUUUAAUUAGCACUUUUGGAAACCAUGCAUAGAAAAUAGCUCAUUUACAUGCAUCUGCUUAGCGAUUAGUCCCAUAAAAAGCUACCAUUUUUUUUGUUGUUUAAUAUAGCGAGCAUUUUACCAUCGGCCAUGAAAAAAAUCAAAACAUAUGUUAUUAUUUUCAAAUCCUGAAAUUCAGAGAUUUAAUUAAAACAGGCAAAAGUCUUCAUAUUUCUCUUCAAGGUAUAUUUAAAUUAUUUAAUUUAACCUUAAGUGUACCAUAAAAGGCUGGAUACAAGUAAUAAUUAAGAACUUCAAAGGGCAACGGAAACCCUCUAACAGUCCUUGGUUUAAUUAAAGGCUAUUAUUAGAAAGCUCUCGAAUAUACAGUUACAUUUAAUGACAAGUGAUGGCUAGUAAAAGCAGUGUUUGAAAGUUAUGAGUAUCUUAUUCUACAUACAAUUGAUAGGUUGUAGAAAGUAUUGCUAUCAUUUCAUUUUGAAAAUAAAUGACAUGUAUUUUUUGAAAAAUCAAAUUGAUAACAUUAAAAACAUGUUAGUUUAAGAUGCUUUGCUUUUCAUUAAUUCUCUAGUCUACACAUAUCUGUCAUGAUUACAAAUUAAUUGUAUCCUUCUUAAAAAGCAUUUCUGCCAAUUUAAAUAUCUUUGAGAGGGUAUUUUUUUGAAUACACUGGUGUAUUUAGGAAGCCAUGUAUACAAAUGUGUAUGGAUUAAUUAACGAUAAAAGUGGACUUUAGUAGUGCAUUUUGAAAUGUAACAUUCUUUUUUGGAAUGUGAACUGAUAUUUCAUAUAACAGUAAAAAUUAUUUUUUAGAAGUUUAUAUUACCUACCACAUUUGUGUGAGUAGACAAUUAGCCAAAAAACAGGUGAUUCUAAAUAGAUUUAGGAAAGUGCACAAACCAUAUAGAAAAUCGGAAUGGGUCAGUUAUGUAAAAUUUGCUGUUUAUCAUAAGUAAUUAUAUUCAUUGUAGUAUUUUACUUUAUAUGUAUUUAUACAGGGAAUUUAGUUGGAACUGGCAUAAAAUUCAGGGCAGAUAUACAUAUAUACAUAUACAUAUAUAUGUAUAUAUAUAUAUAUUCCAAGUGAAAUUGAACAAAUAUUUGAAGAACUCAUUUAGAACAUUUUACUGAUUCUGUUUGUUAAUUAUCUUUAGUAAUUGGCUUAUAAAGCAUCUAUAAUAAAAACUAUUAAUUAAGCAUAUAAAAUUUUAAUUUUAUGAGUAAUCUAUUAUUUUGAAAAUGUGAUACUGUUUCCUUUGUUCACUGUGGACCAGUGAAUACCAUGAGAUGUUUGGUCUUAGAAAGAUUGUGUGGAUUAAAUAUGUAGAUAUGAAUCUAUACCUGUGUGGUUUAUUCACAUAAUGUAGUAUAUGUGCAUAGUUCACUGUGUACAAAAAGUGUGUUCCUGAUGUGCCUUUUGUAUGGCAUGUUUCUUUAAUUUAAAUUUUUUUUUUACUUAAGUUUAUUUUAUCCUCCUCAUAACCAGUAUUCUUCUCUAUUUGUUUAUUAUACUCACACUACUUCCCUCCUGCUGAGGCACUCAGAACUUGAGGUU